UACGAAGGGGGCUAGCGUUGUUCGGAAUCACUGGGCGUAAAGGGCGCGUAGGCGGCCUGCUAAGUCGAACGUGAAAUCCCUGGGCUCAACCCAGGAACUGCGUCCGAUACUGGUUGGCUUGAAUCCGGGAGAGGGAUGUGGAAUUCCAGGUGUAGCGGUGAAAUGCGUAGAUAUCUGGAGGAACACCGGUGGCGAAGGCGACAUCCUGGACCGGUAUUGACGCUGAGGCGCGAAAGCCAGGGGAGCAAACGGG
rnacentral:rRNA from 1 species